AACGCGAAGAACCUUACCUACUCUUGACAUCCAGAGAAUUCGCUAGAGAUAGCUUAGUGCCUUCGGGAACUCUGAGACAGGUGCUGCAUGGCUGUCGUCAGCUCGUGUUGUGAAAUGUUGGGUUAAGUCCCGCAACGAGCGCAACCCUUAUCCUUUGUUGCCAGCACGUAAUGGUGGGAACUCAAAGGAGACUGCCGGUGAUAAACCGGAGGAAGGUGGGGAUGACGUCAAGUCAUCAUGGCCCUUACGAGUAGGGCUACACACGUGCUACAAUGGCGUACACAAAGAGAAGCGAACUCGCGAGAGCAAGCGGACCUCAUAAAGUACGUCGUAGUCCGGAUCGGAGUCUGCAACUCGACUCCGUGAAGUCGGAAUCGCUAGUAAUCGUAGAUCAGAAUGCUACGGUGAAUACGUUCCCGGGCCUUGUACACACCG
rnacentral:rRNA from 1 species